UUGUUUGUAAUUUUUUUGAUAUCUUUUCCAUCGAACUCCCUAGUCUACCUCCCCCACAUGAGGUAGAGUUCUUGAUUGAAUUAUUACUAGGAACCUAGCUGAUCUUGAAGCCCGUGUAUCACAUGAGUCACACUGAGUUAACAGAGCUCGAACAUAAGCUUUCUGAUCUUAUCAUUUGAAAAUUCAUUCGCCCUAGCCAUUUUCCUUGGGGCGCUCUAGU
rnacentral:lncRNA from 1 species